GAUGAACGCUGGCGGCGUGCUUAACACAUGCAAGUCGAGCGGGCAAUUUAUCUAGCACUGAUUACUUCAAAUGGAAAUCAUAAGUGUAAUCAUGAAUUUCUACCUUAUAAUAAAGAAAAAGAAAUUCAUGUACGCAAAUAGUGAUAACACAUUUUAGUGGAGUGAUGAGUGCUGGAUAAAUUGCUAGCGGCGGACGGGUGCGUAACACGUGGGUAACCUGCCCCUAUCACUGGGAUAACACACUGAAAAGUGUGCUAAUACCAGAUAACAUAAGCUUUUGGCAUCAUUAGCUUAUCAAAGAAUUUCGGAUAGGGAUGGGCCCGCGUCUGAUUAGCUAGUUGGUGAGGUAACGGCUCACCAAGGCAACGAUCAGUAGCCGACCUGAGAGGGUGAUCGGCCACACUGGAACUGAGACACGGUCCAGACUCCUACGGGAGGCAGCAGUGGGGAAUAUUGCACAAUGGGCGAAAG
rnacentral:rRNA from 1 species